CUCAGGAUGAACGCUAGCGGCAGGCUUAACACAUGCAAGUCGAGGGGUAUAGUAGCAAUACUAGAGACCGGCGCACGGGUGCGUAACGCGUAUGCAAUCUACCUUUUACAGAGGGAUAGCCCAGAGAAAUUUGGAUUAAUACCUCAUAGUAUAACACAACCGCAUGGUUGAGUUAUUAAAGUCACAACGGUAAAAGAUGAGCWUGCGUCCCAUUAGCUUGUUGGUAAGGUAACGGCUUACCAAGGCAACGAUGGGUAGGGGUCCUGAGAGGGAGAUCCCCCACACUGGUACUGAGACACGGACCAGACUCCUACGGGAGGCAGCAGUGAGGAAUAUUGGUCAAUGGGCGCAAGCCUGAACCAGCCAUGCCGCGUGCAGGAUGACGGUCCUAUGGAUUGUAAACUGCUUUUGCACAGGAAGAAACACUACCUCGUGAGGUAGCUUGACGGUACUGUGAGAAUAAGGAUCGGCUAACUCCGUGCCAGCAGCCGCGGUAAUACGGAGGAUCCAAGCGUUAUCCGGAAUCAUUGGGUUUAAAGGGUCCGUAGGCGGUCUAAUAAGUCAGUGGUGAAAGCCCAUCGCUCAACGAUGGAACGGCCAUUGAUACUGUUAGACUUGAAUUAUUUGGAAGUAACUAGAAUAUGUAGUGUAGCGGUGAAAUGCUUAGAGAUUACAUGGAAUACCAAUUGCGAAGGCAGGUUACUACAAAUGGAUUGACGCUGAUGGACGAAAGCGUGGGUAGCGAACAGGAUUAGAUACCCUGGUAGUCCACGCCGUAAACGAUGGAUACUAGCUGUUCGGAGCAAUCUGAGUGGCUAAGCGAAAGUGAUAAGUAUCCCA
rnacentral:rRNA from 1 species